AGAGUUUGAUCCUGGCUCAGAACGAACGCUGGUAGCGUGGAUUAGGCAUGCAAGUCGGACGGGAUCGGGAGGAUAGCAAUAUUCUCCGUGAGAGUGGCGGACUGGGGAGGAACACGUGAGCAACUGCCCGCAGGACGGGGAAAACCGUUGGAAACGACGGCUAAUACCGGAUGCGGCGCCUUGGGGACAUCCCUAGGGCGCCAAAGGGGGCCCAAAAGGCUCCCGCCCGCGGAGAGGCUCGCGCACCAUCAGCUUGUUGGCGGGGUAACGGCCCACCAAGGCUUACGGUUAGCUGGUCUGAGAGGAUGACCAGCCCCACUGGGACUGAGACACUGCCCAGACUCCUACGGGAGGCUGCAGUCGAGGAUCAUUUGCAAUGGGCGAAAGCCUGACAAUGCGACGCUGCGUGGAGGAUGAAGGCCUUCGGGUUGUAAACUCCUGUCAUGGGGGAACAGGCGAGGAUACCCAACACGUAUCUUAGUUGAGUGUACCCCAAGAGGAAGGGACGGCUAACUCUGUGCCAGCCGCAGC
rnacentral:rRNA from 1 species